CAAUAGCGUAUAUUAAAGUUGUUGCAGUUAAAAAGCUCGUAGUUGAAUUUUUGCUUGCCGCCGAUGUCGGAACUUCCGUACGUUCGGCGGCGUGCAUCCUUGGGUGGAACCUGUGUGGCAUUAGGUUGUCGUGCAGGGGAUGCUCAUCGUUUACUGUGAAAAAAUUAGAGUGUUCAAAGCAGGCUUACGCCGUUGAAUAUAUUAGCAUGGAAUAAUAAGAUAGGACCUUGGUACUAUUUUGUUGGCUUGCGCACCGAGGUAAUGAUUAACAGGGACAGUUGGGGGUAUUCGUAUUCCAUUGUCAGAGGUGAAAUUCUUGGAUUUCUGGAAGACGAACUACUGCGAAAGCAUUUACCAAGGAUGUUUUCAUUAA
rnacentral:rRNA from 1 species